rnacentral:rRNA from 1 species
GACGAACGCUGGCGGCGUGCUUAACACAUGCAAGUCGAACGGAAAGGCCCUGCUUUUUUGGUGUUCUCGAUUGCCGAUCGCGUGCGUAACACGUGUGUAACCUGCCCUUGUUUUUCGUAUAACUUCACGUAACUGGGGCUACUACCGUAUCGGAUCUCCUGCUCCAUUGUGUGGGUUGGAUCGUUUCGGCGGUUGGGGAUGGAUUCGCGGCUUAUCAUCUUGUUUGUUGGGUAGUUGCUUACCAAGGCUUUGGCGGGUAGCCGGCAUGAGAGGGUGACCGGCGACAAUGGGACUGAGAUAGGGCGCAGAGUGCAACGGGAGACAACAGUGGGGAAUAUUGCACAAUGGGAGGAAGCGUGAUGAAGAAACGCCGGGUGCGGGAUGACGGCCUGCGGGGUGAAAAAAGCAUUAGCCUGAGACGAAGCGGGAGUGACGGUAAUGGGUAAAGAAGCACCGGCUAACUACGUG